CCAGGGGGCCGGGCAGCCGCGUGACUUCGGUCGCGAGGAAAGUCCGGGCUCCACGAAACAAGGGUGGCGGGUAACGCCCGCCGUGGGCAACCAUAGGGAAAGUGCCGCAGAGAGCAGACCGCCGAUGGCCUCCUCGGAGGAUCAGGUAAGGGUGAAAGGGUGCGGUAAGAGCGCACCGGGGCGCUGGUAACAGGGCUCGCACGGUAAACCCCACCCGGAGCAAGGCCGAAUAGGGGCGGCGCGUCUUCGCAAGAAGGCAGAUGUGUUUUGCAUCGACCGCCCGGGUUGGCUGCUUGAGCCGCGGAGCGAUCCGCGGCCCAGACGAAUGGCUGCCACUGCGGAUACGGUCCGGUUAUCGGAUACCGUCUGCAGAGACAGAACCCGGCUUACAGGCCCCCUGGCGCU
rnacentral:RNase_P_RNA from 1 species